ACCCCUGCCUGGCUCUCUGCAUGCCAGUGGGCCCAGCCUGGCUCUGUGUGCCAGUGAGCCCAGCCUGGCUCUGUGUG
rnacentral:miRNA from 1 species